UACGUAAGGUCCGAGCGUUGUCCGGAAUCAUUGGGCGUAAAGGGUACGUAGGCGGAUAAGCAAGUUAGAAGUGAAAUCCUAUAGCUCAACUAUAGUAAGCUUUUAAAACUGAAUACCUUGAGAGAUGGAGGGGAAUGUGGAACUCCAUGUGUAGCGGUGGAAUGCGUAGAUAUAUGGAAGAACACCAGUGGCGAAGGCGACAUUCUGGUCUGUUACUGACGCUGAGGCGCGAAAGCGUGGGGAGCAAACAGG
rnacentral:rRNA from 1 species